rnacentral:rRNA from 2 species
UGGGGAAUCUUGCGCAAUGGGCGGAAGCCUGACGCAGCAACGCCACGUGGGGGAUGACGGCCUUCGGGUUGUAAACCUCUUUCGGCCUUGACGAAGGCAUCCCUGUUGGGGGUGUUGACGGUAGGGGCAGAAGAAGCACCGGCUAACUACGUGCCAGCAGCCGCGGUAAUACGUAGGGUGCGAGCGUUGUCCGGAGUUACUGGGCGUAAAGAGCUCGUAGGCGGUGUGUCGCGUCGGCCGUGAAAUCCUGCUGCUUAACGGUGGGCUUGCGGUCGAUACGGGCAGACUAGAGUUCGGUAGGGGAGACUGGAAUUCCUGGUGUAGCGGUGAAAUGCGCAGAUAUCAGGAGGAACGCCGGUGGCGAAGGCGGGUCUCUGGGCCGAUACUGACGCUGAGGAGCGAAAGCGUGGGGAGCGAACAGG